rnacentral:ribozyme from 15 species
GGCUGACAAAAUCCUUUCCCAACCUCCACGUGGUGUCGGCUGGAUAAUGCAUUAGAAAUGUUGCAUUUACCAACUGGGAAGG